UACCAGCUCCUCGAGUGGUCAGGACGAUUAUUGGGCCUAAAGCACCCGUAGCCGGUUCCAUAAGUCCUCUGUUAAAUCCAACCGCCCAACGGUUGACCUGCAGAGGAUACUGCGGGACUAGGAGGCGGGAGAGGCGGACGGUACUCCGUGGGUAGGGGUAAAAUCCUUUGAUCCGCGGAAGACCACCAGUAUGUUUGCGGUUAGCGACCACAAACUUGGUGAAUGGCGAAGGCGGUCCGCCAGAA
rnacentral:rRNA from 1 species